UACGGAGGAGGCAAGCGUUAUCCGGAAUUAUUGGGCGUAAAGCGUCCGCAGGUGGCACUUCAAGUCUGUCGUCAAAGACUGGGGCUUAACCCUGGAAAGGCGGUGGAAACUGAAGCGCUAGAGUGCGGUAGGGGUAGAGGGAAUUCCCGGUGUAGCGGUGAAAUGCGUAGAUAUCUGGAGGAACACCGGUGGCGAAGGCGGCAUUCUGGACCGAUAUUGACGCUGAGGAGCGAAAGCCAGGGGAGCAAACGGG
rnacentral:rRNA from 1 species